rnacentral:rRNA from 1 species
CGAGCGCGGACGGGUGAGUAACGCAUAGAAUCUGCCCGGUAGUGGGGGAUAACCUGGGGAAACCCAGGCUAAUACCGCAUACGUCCUACGGGAGAAAGCAGGGGAUCUUCGGACCUUGCGCUAUCGGAUGAGCCUAUGUCGGAUUAGCUGGUUGGUGAGGUAAUGGCUCACCAAGGCGACGAUCCGUAGCUGGUCUGAGAGGAUGAUCAGCCACAUCGGGACUGAGACACGGCCCGAACUCCUACGGGAGGCAGCAGUGGGGAAUAUUGGACAAUGGGCGCAAGCCUGAUCCAGCCAUGCCGCGUGUGUGAAGAAGGCCCUCGGGUUGUAAAGCACUUUCAGUGGGGAAGAAAUCCUCGGGGCUAAUACCCUCGAGGGAGGACAUCACCCACAGAAGAAGCACCGGCUAACUCCGUGCCAGCAGCCGCGGUAAUACGGAGGGUGCGAGCGUUAAUCGGAAUUACUGGGCGUAAAGCGCGCGUAGGCGGCCUGAUAAGCCGGUUGUGAAAGCCCCGGGCUCAACCUGGGAACGGCAUCCGGAACUGUCAGGCUAGAGUGCAGGAGAGGAAGGUAGAAUUCCCGGUGUAGCGGUGAAAUGCGUAGAGAUCGGGAGGAAUACCAGUGGCGAAGGCGGCUUUCUGGACUGACACUGACGCUGAGGUGCGAAAGCGUGGGUAGCAAACAGGAUUAGAUACCCUGGUAGUCCACGCCGUAAACGAUGUCGACUAGCCGUUGGGGUCCUUGAGACCUUUGUGGCGCAGUUAACGCGAUAAGUCGACCGCCUGGGGAGUACGGCCGCAAGGUUAAAACUCAAAUGAAUUGACGGGGGCCCGCACAAGCGGUGGAGCAUGUGGUUAAUUCGAUGCAACGCGAAGAACCUUACUACCCUGACAUCGAGAGACUUGCAGAGAUGCUAGGGC